rnacentral:rRNA from 1 species
GACAGAGGGGGCAAGCGUUGCUCGGAAUUACUGGGCGUAAAGGGCGCGUAGGCGGGAUGGCAAGUCGGUCGUGAAAUCCCUCGGCUCAACUGAGGAGCGUCGAUCGAAACUGCCGUUCUUGAGGGUUGCAGAGGAGACUGGAAUUCCCGGUGUAGCGGUGAAAUGUGUAGAGAUCGGGAGGAACACCGGUGGCGAAGGCGGGUCUCUGGGCAACUCCUGGACGCUGAGGCGCGAAAGCGUGGGGAGCAAAGCGGG